rnacentral:rRNA from 1 species
UACGGAGGGGGCUAGCGUUGUUCGGAAUUACUGGGCGUAAAGCGCGCGUAGGCGGACUUUUAAGUCGGGGGUGAAAUCCCGGGGCUCAACCCCGGAACUGCCUUCGAUACUGGAAGUCUGGAGUUCGAGAGAGGUGAGUGGAAUUCCGAGUGUAGAGGUGAAAUUCGUAGAUAUUCGGAGGAACACCAGUGGCGAAGGCGGCUCACUGGCUCGAUACUGACGCUGAGGUGCGAAAGCCAGGGGAGCAAACGGG